UUCGCAGGUGGCCUGUUAAGUCAGGUGUGAAAGGCAGUGGCUCAACCAUUGCAAGCACUUGAAACUGACAGGCUUGAGUACAGGAGAGGAAAGCGGAAUUCCUAGUGUAGCGGUGAAAUGCGUAGAUAUUAGGAGGAACACCAGUGGCGAAGGCGGCUUUCUGGACUGUAACUGACACUGAGGAACGAAAGCGUGGGGAGCAAACA
rnacentral:rRNA from 1 species